GACGAACGCCGGCGGCGUGCUUAACACAUGCAAGUCGAACGGUAAGGCCCUUCGGGGUACACGAGUGGCGAACGGGUGAGUAACACGUGGGUGAUCUGCCCUGCACUUCGGGAUAAGCCUGGGAAACUGGGUCUAAUACCGGAUAGGACCACUGCCUGCAUGGGUGGUGGUGGAAAGCUUUUGCGGUGUGGGAUGGGCCCGCGGCCUAUCAGCUUGUUGGUGGGGUGAUGGCCUAGCAAGGCGACGACGGGUAGCCGGCCUGAGAGGGUGACCGGCCACACUGGGACUGAGAUACGGCCCAGACUCCUACGGGAGGCAGCAGUGGGGAAUAUCGCACAAUGGGCGCAAGCCUGAUGCAGCGUCGCCGCGUGAGGGAUGACGGCCUUCGGGUUGUAAACCUCUUUCAGCACCGACGAAGCGCAAGUGACGGUAGGUGCAGAAGAAGGACCGGCCAACUACGUGCCAGCCGCCGCGGUAA
rnacentral:rRNA from 1 species